rnacentral:rRNA from 1 species
UACGUAGGGUGCGAGCGUUAACCGGAAUUACUGGGCGUAAAGCGUGCGCAGGCGGUUUUGUAAGACAGAGGUGAAAUCCCCGGGCUCAACCCGGGAACUGCGUCCGAGACUGGAAGGCUCGAAUCCGGGAGAGGGAUGUGGAAUUCCAGGUGUAGCGGUGAAAUGCGUAGAUAUCUGGAGGAACAUCGGUGGCGAAGGCGGCAUCCUGGACCGGUAUUGACGCUGAGGCGCGAAAGCCAGGGGAGCAAAGCGGG